rnacentral:lncRNA from 1 species
CCAACAGUCUUUAGGUUUUUGUGCUUCCAGCAUCUUUGAUCAUUGUUGUAACAGUAAAAUAUCCGUAAUGUGAUCUUUGCCUGUAAAGCUGGUUGAUUAAAAUGAGCAAAGCUUUUGUCUGGGAAAGAAUUGAAAAGAACACCAGAGUAAGAUAUUUUUGGAUAGAUCCAGAUACAAAUUGUAAUCCAAAAUUAAAAAUAGU